rnacentral:lncRNA from 1 species
GCAGGAGAACAUCACUAGCUUUCAAUACCAACCUUCAACACAUAAGACCCUCCCAUACUCCUCUUAGCUCAGCCAUUGAAACCGUGACAUCAAAUAACUGUACACCGACGACCUCAUAUUAAAAUAAAAUUUCCAUGUGUACACCCUCAAGAUAACCUUUACAACAUAAAGCCCAUUAGUUAACCUUUUUCUUUCCAUGGGACCCAUUGGUUAGCAUUAGAAGAUUACUGAAUUGCUAUAAAACAAAGACCCCCAUAAAGAAAAAGGGUGGAAUCUGCUUUCAUUGCAGCAAUCAGUUCUUGCACAUAGAAUUAAACUAAGCAACCCCA